rnacentral:rRNA from 1 species
GAUGAACGCUGGCGGCGUGCCUAAUACAUGCAAGUCGAGCGAACGGACGAUAAGCUUGUUUCUUUGAUGUUAGCGGAGGACGGGUGAGUAACACGUGGAUCACCUACUUAUAUGUCUGGGAUAAUCACGGGACACCGGAGCUAAUACCGGAGAAUAUUUUGAACCGUAUGGUUCAAUAGAGAAAGACGGCCUUGGUGUCUGGAAUAGAUGGUUCCGCGCUGGAUUAGGUGGUUGGUAAGGUCACGGCUUACCAAGGCUACGAUGCAUAGCCGAGCUGAGAGGGUGGUAGGCCACCCUAGAACUUGGACACGGUCCAUGCUCCUGCGGGACGGCGCAGUAGGGAAUCGUCCGCAAUGGGCGGGAACCUUGCGCAACGACGCCGCGUGAGUGGUAGAAGUCUUCGGAGCGUGAAACUCUGUUAUUGGGGAAAAACAUCUUUCUCAUUAACCGAACCCUGCUUGACGGUAACUAAUCAAAAAGCCACGGCUAACUACGUG